AUUGAACGCUGGCGGCAGGCCUAACACAUGCAAGUCGAGCGGAUGAAGGGAGCUUGCUCCUGGAUUCAGCGGCGGACGGGUGAGUAAUGCCUAGGAAUCUGCCUGGUAGUGGGGGAUAACGUCCGGAAACGGGCGCUAAUACCGCAUACGUCCUGAGGGAGAAAGUGGGGGAUCUUCGGACCUCACGCUAUCAGAUGACCCUAGGUCGGAUUAGCUAGUUGGUGGGGUAAAGGCCUACCAAGGCGACGAUCCGUAACUGGUCUGAGAGGAUGAUCAGUCACACUGGAACUGAGACACGGUCCAGACUCCUACGGGAGGCAGCAGUGGGGAAUAUUGGACAAUGGGCGAAAGCCUGAUCCAGCCAUGCCGCGUGUGUGAAGAAGGUCUUCGGAUUGUAAAGCACUUUAAGUUGGGAGGAAGAGCAGUAAGUUAAUACCUUGCUGUUUUGACGUUACCAACAGAAUAAGCACCGGCUAACUUCGUG
rnacentral:rRNA from 1 species